AAGCCAAAUGCACUUUGCCUGGUGGAGAUCCUCCUUGUUAGUUUUAAGCUUUGCAGAUGCUAAAAAAAAAACCUUGGAAUGCUGGCUUUGUUUUUCACUUAACUACAGAAUCCCUCAGAACUGAAGGGAGCUUCACUUCAAAUACAGUUGAUACUAAUAUUGACAAGCUACAAAAAAAAAAACCCAGGUUUUUCCCUCCUCUGUACAAAGUCUUGAAAACUCUUUUAUCCUCUAUGAAUGUGAGAGCUUCACUGAAGAGUUUAAGCCCUGCCCCUACAGAAAGAGGAAGCCAAAGGUGAGGUGUGCAGAUUGCAGGGAAAAUCCUUGCAGAAAUACUGCACAUGUACUUAAAAAUUAAUUUUGAAAAUAUUAAUGUGAAAAGACAAUAUAUUGAAAUUCCAAAGGUUGUGACAGAAACAAAGAUGCUAACUGUGCACUGACCUUGCUAACUUUUAUGAAGGUAAUUCUUGCUGUAUAUUUCUUUCCAUGUAAAUACAAAUCUGAAAAUAAGUCCAUGCUAAUUACUAUUUUUGAGGAAGUCAAAAAACUUAGAUAUUAUUUGUAUUAUAAUGAAAAUGUAGAUUUCUUUGCAGUAUAAUCUACACAAUUGAGUGGAUUUAUAGUAUUGAAGGGCAACAUCCCAUUAAAAAGAAUAAAGGAAGUGUGGGAGGCUAUUCUGAGACACUUAAAAUGGAAGCUCAACGAGACCGCUACUGCCAAUAUAUCCCACAAUGUUCUGCCAGUAAAAGGAAGAUAAAAUCUGUCUUAGCAUUUAACAGGAAUGAAGCUUUCCAGAUUUUUCUGAGGUUCCACAGGAGCUUUCUUCCAUUCCCCACAAGAUUUAAGUUAGGUGGACCUGAUCCAAGUCUACAAAAAAUCCAACUCCAAGUCUGAGAUCAGACUGAGCCAUCAAAGAAUUCUAUAUGGAUAGGAACACUGACACCUUUAGGUAUAUUAACCCAUCAGUCAGAGCACUGGUAGGAGUACAGAAUGUCAAAGUGAACAUAUGGAAAAGCACACAGCUCCUGCAGCAAUGCAGAGACCUUUUCCUAUGUCCAUUCUCUCAGGGUGAUGCAAACAGAGGGCUGGGAAUGCUGUCCAAUGCACAAGGCAAGGCAAGGACCUCCCAUCUGAGUGUAAGAACAGCUACACUGGUUUGUUGUCAGACUCAGGACUCUGAAAGUUGGUGUGUGAAACCUGGAAAGAAGCAAACUUCUUUGUACAGACUGUGUACACACACAGAGCAGGCAUGUACAUAGGUGUGAAGUCACUUCUUUCUAAAUGGUUUUCAGAAUUUCAGUUUGCAGACUACUGAGCGUUUUCUACAAGUGGACCAGACCCUCAUAUUGCACACUUUUGUUGUUGUUUACAGUUAGAGAUUGAUUUCUUUCCUGGUUUUCCUUAUAGAAGUACUAGUCCUGGCUCAAGAGCUCUGCACUGUAUAACAGCUCGACCUCCAUGUCCCAUUGUAUUUAAAAUUCUCUAAACAAUUUAUUGAGGAAAAAGUAAGUUGUGAUAUGUCAGUGCAGCUGGAACUAGACUGCUGAGGCCAAAAAGUGAGAAAGAAUUCCCAAGCAAGAUAUGGAAACCAUAGGUUUUUUGAUAGAAUUCAUUUGUUAACUGGGUAAAACUGUCUGUUAACAUUUAACAGUCAAUCUGUAAGGAAAGAAGCAAAAAAGAGAGAGAGAAACACAAUAGUAUCUACCUAUUUAAUUCAAGUACUGAGGUAUUGUUUAAGAAAAUUGUCAACAUUGAAUCACACCAUGGAAUUGUUCCCAUAUGAGUUCUGCCUCUAUGAUUGCACAAGAUUUUUAUGUAUAAUACACCUUUUCAGGUGGUUUCAUCUCACCCUUUGGUAUAUACCUUCUUUCCCUUUUCCUACUUUGAAAACAUGCAUUAGUUAUCAAGCCAGCCUUUUUCCUUUACCAGCAUUUGCCAGUCUGCAAAAACUCUUUUCUUGAACUAAUUUUGUGUAAGUUUUUCCCUUUUUUUCUUUUGAGAAAAAAUUAGUUUUACUUUUUGCAAGUACAAAUAUUUCCCUUUGGCUGUGAUGGUUUUUUUUUGUUUUCAUUUUGUAUUCUAUUUCACAAAUCUGCAACAUCUUGAUCUUAUUUUACUGGUAGGAGUCUUGACACCUAAACCCAACUUUGUGAUUUUUUUACAGUCACUGCUAGAAGAUAUAGAGACUUUUCAUUUGUAUUUUUAAACAAAUUGUAUUUAUAUUAAAAAUUGCCUGACUUCCAAACAAAAAUAAUUGUGAAGAAUUAUUCACUUUCUUUUAUCUAAAACACUCCUGUGAAUUGAAAAGUUUCCAAAAUGUUAUGAAAAUGUGCAUAAAGUUAUUGAAAUUUGUCACUUUAGACAUUUAGCAUUUAGAGAGUAUUGCAGAGGAUCUUAAGACAUCUUUAUAUUUUUUAAAACUUUCCACAAUCCUUACCAUUAUAUAUCUUCAUUCUGGUUUUCUUGGUUUUUUUCAAAUGUCUGGGGUUUUCAAGGGUAUAACUGGCUAGAUUUUGAAUUCUGUAUCAGUGUAAUAAUU